CAGUCGCCGCGGGAAUACGGAGGGGGCUAGCGUUGUUCGGAAUUACUGGGCGUAAAGCGUACGUAGGCGGCUUUGUAAGUUAGAGGUGAAAGCCUGGUGCUCAACACCAGAACUGCCUUUAAGACUGCAUCGCUUGAACGUCGGAGAGGUGAGUGGAAUUCCGAGUGUAGAGGUGAAAUUCGUAGAUAUUCGGAAGAACACCAGUGGCGAAGGCGGCUCACUGGACGACUGUUGACGCUGAGGUACGAAAGCGUGGGGAGCAAACAGGAUUAGAUACCCGUGUAGUCCCUGUCUCUUAUAC
rnacentral:rRNA from 1 species